AGUGAACGCUGGCGGUAGGCCUAAUACAUGCAAGUCGAACGGCAGCACAGGAGAGCUUGCUCUCUGGGUGGCGAGUGGCGGACGGGUGAGGAAUACAUCGGAAUCUACUUUUUCGUGGGGGAUAACGUAGGGAAACUUACGCUAAUACCGCAUACGACCUACGGGUGAAAGCAGGGGAUCUUCGGACCUUGCGCAAUUGAAUGAGCCGAUGUCGGAUUAGCUAGUUGGCGGGGUAAAGGCCCACCAAGGCGACGAUCCGUAGCUGGUCUGAGGGGAUGAGCAGCCACACUGGAACUGAGACACGGUCCAGACUCCUACGGGAGGCAGCAGUGGGGAAUAUUGGACAAUGGGCGCAAGCCUGAUCCAGCCAUACCGCGUGGGUGAAGAAGGCCUUCGGGUUGUAAAGCCCUUUUGUUGGGAAAGAAAUCCAGCUGGUUAAUACCCGGUUGGGAUGACGGUACCCAAAGAAUAAGCACCGGCUAACUUCGUGCCAGCAGCCGCCGUAA
rnacentral:rRNA from 1 species